CAAGAUUUGGUGGGUGAGGACAUUUUUGCUCUGCCCUGUCCGGGAUUUCGCUACCAGCCCUCAAAAGCAUUCAGCGAAGAUGCUGGAAGACAAAGGAUCCAUGUGUUGCAACACGGCAUGCUAACUGUACUGGUGGGGGUGGGAUUUCCGGUGCACGACCUGCCAGGCUUGGCUACACAGUGCCGAACCCCCCUGGCGGCUUCAAUCCAACCAUCACUCAGCGCAGAACAAUUUCAGCCACAGCCUCAGCCGGCCGAAUUAGGGUUUUCGCUUUCGCUCGGCCUCCUUUUUCUCCCUCGGAGUCCAGGGAAACAUAAACAAACAGCAAAACAGAGGAGAUAAGGAGGAGGAGGAGGAGGAGGAUGGAGAAAGCGAGGCUGGUGGCGGGGAC
ensembl:lncRNA